rnacentral:rRNA from 1 species
GGUUGAUCCUGCCAGUAGUCAUAUGCUUGUCUCAAAGAUUAAGCCAUGCAUGUCUAAGUAUAAACUGCUUAUACGGUGAAACUGCGAAUGGCUCAUUAAAUCAGUUAUAGUUUAUUUGAUGGUACCUCUUACUCGGAUAACCGUAGUAAUUCUAGAGCUAAUACGUGCGUAAAUCCCGACUUAUGGAAGGGACGUAUUUAUUAGAUAAAAGGCCAGCCGGGCUUGCCCGACCCUAGGCGAAUCAUGAUAACUUCACGGAUCGCAUGCCCUCGUGGCGGCGAUGUUUCAUUCAA